UAAACAAAAGGCUGAAAGGAUAAGACAAUAUUAAAGUAGGAAACAAAGAUGGAAAUGAAGAGUCGGCUUCUCUCCACAUCGAUUCCUCCGCCAUGGAUGAGUUCUGAGCACCAGCCGCCGGAGAAUCGGCUCCUCAAUAUUGCAUUUCUUCAAUUUCUACCAGCUCUUCUCCAAAGAAACUAUAACCUUCAACUUGUCCUGAGCUAAAUCAGUCAGAUCUGGACAGCUUCAAGUUCCGACUUUGAAAACUAAGGGAGAUGAGUUGAUGAGGAAACAAAGAGGGAAAUGGAGAGUCGACUGCUCUCCACAUCGAUUCCUCCGCCAUGGAUGAGUUUUGAGCACUAGCCGCCAGAGAAUCGGCUCCUCAAUAUUGCAUUUCUUCAAUUGCUAGCUUCCAACUCUUCUCAAAAGAAACUCUAACCUUGAACUCAUCCUUAGCUAAAUAAGUCAGAUCUGGAGAGCUUCAAGUUCUGACUUAGGAAAAUAAGGGAGACGAGUUGAUGAGGAAACAAGGAGGAAAAUGGAGAGUCGACUUCUUUCCUUAUCGAUUCCUCCGCCAUGGAUGAGUUCUGAGCACCAGCCGUCGGAGAAUCAACUCCUCAAUAUUGCAUUUCUUCAAUUGCUACCAGCUCUUCUCCAAAGAAACUCUAACCUUCAACUCGUCCUGAGCUAAAUUAGUCAGAUUUGGAGAGCUUCAAGUUCCGACUUAGGAAACUAAGAGAGACGAGUUGAUGAGGAAACAAAGAGGGAAAUGGAGAGUCGACUUCUCUCCACAUCGAUUCCUCCGCCAUGGAUGAGUUCCGAGCACCAAUCACCGGAGAAUAGGCUCCUCAAUAUUGCAUUUCUUCAAUUGAUACCAGCUCUUCUCCAAUUAAUGAAACUCUAACCUUCAACUCGUCCUGAGCUAAAUUAGUCAGAUCUAGAGAGCUUCAAGUUCCUACUUUGGAAACUAAGGGAGAUGAGUUGA